AACGAACGCUGGCGGCAGGCUUAACACAUGCAAGUCGAGCGCCCCGCAAGGGGAGCGGCAGACGGGUGAGUAACGCGUGGGAAUCUACCUUUUGCUACGGAAUAACUCAGGGAAACUUGUGCUAAUACCGUAUGUGCCCUUCGGGGGAAAGAUUUAUCGGCAAAGGAUGAGCCCGCGUUGGAUUAGCUAGUUGGUGGGGUAAAGGCCCACCAAGGCGACGAUCCAUAGCUGGUCUGAGAGGAUGAUCAGCCACACUGGGACUGAGACACGGCCCAGACUCCUACGGGAGGCAGCAGUGGGGAAUAUUGGACAAUGGGCGCAAGCCUGAUCCAGCCAUGCCGCGUGAGUGAUGAAGGCCCUAGGGUUGUAAAGCUCUUUCGCCGGUGAAGAUAAUGACGGUAACCGGAGAAGAAGCCCCGGCUAACUUCGUGCCAGCCGCCGCGGUAAUAC
rnacentral:rRNA from 1 species